rnacentral:rRNA from 1 species
CUCAACCUUGGAAUUGCAUUUUGAACUGGCAAGCUAGAGUUUUGAAGAGGGUGGUAGAAUUUCCAGUGUAGCGGUGAAAUGCGUAGAUAUUGGAAGGAAUAUCAGUGGCGAAGGCGGCCACCUGGUCAAAAACUGACGCUGAGGAGCGAAAGCGUGGGGAGCAAACAGGAUUAGAUACCCUGGUAGUCCACGCCGUAAACGAUGUCAACUAGUUGUUCGUGUCAUUAUGACGUGAGUAACGCAGCUAACGCACUAAGUUGACCGCCUGGGGAGUACGGCCGCAAGGUUAAAACUCAAAUGAAUUGACGGGGGCCCGCACAGGCGGUGGAGCAUGUGGUUUAAUUCGAUGCAACGCGAAGAACCUUACCAUCCCUUGACAUCCACGGAAGCUUUCAGAGAUGAGAGUGUGCCUUCGGGAACCG